rnacentral:rRNA from 1 species
UAGGGAAUCUUCCGCAAUGGACGCAAGUCUGACGGAGCAACGCCGCGUGAGUGAAGAAGGAUUUCGGUUCGUAAAACUCUGUUGUUAGAGAAGAACAGCGCAUAGAGUAACUGUUAUGCGUGUGACGGUAUCUAACCAGAAAGCCACGGCUAACUACGUGCCAGCAGCCGCGGUAAUACGUAGGUGGCAAGCGUUGUCCGGAUUUAUUGGGCGUAAAGCGAGCGCAGGCGGUCAAUUAAGUCUGAUGUGAAAGCCCCCGGCUCAACCGGGGAGGGUCAUUGGAAACUGGUUUACUUGAGUGCAGAAGAGGAGAGUGGAAUUCCAUGUGUAGCGGUGAAAUGCGUAGAUAUAUGGAGGAACACCAGUGGCGGAGGCGACUCUCUGGUCUGUAACUGACGCUGAGGUUCGAAAGCGUGGGUAGCCAACAGG